UACGUAGGGGCCUAGCGUUGUCCGGAAUUAUUGGGCGUAAAGAGCUCGUAGGCGGUUCGGCAAGUCGGAUGUGAAAUCUCCACGCUCAACGUGGAGGGGUCAGCUGAUACUGCUGUGACUUGAGUCCGGUAGGGGAGUGUGGAAUUCCCGGUGUAGCGGUGAAAUGCGCAGAUAUCGGGAGGAACACCAGUAGCGAAGGCGGCACUCUGGGCCGGUACUGACGCUGAGGAGCGAAAAGCGUGGGGAGCAAACAGG
rnacentral:rRNA from 1 species